rfam:Pseudomonas fulva 12-X, complete genome.
AAGUGACGCCGGGCCCCUCUGGCGAUGAGUCGCCCUCAUCGUGAUGUCGGAGUCACCAA